rnacentral:lncRNA from 1 species
CCCAAGUGAAAUAAACAACCUUGUUCCUCACACAAAGCCUGUUGGUGGACUCUCUUCACACAGAUGUGUGUGUCAUUUGGUGCUGAAGACCUGGGACAGGGGGAAUCCUUUGGGAGACUGGUCCCCUGUACUCACCCUCACUCCAUGAGGAGAUCCACCCAUGACCUUUGGUCCUCAGACCAGCCCAAGGAACAUCUCACCAAUUUUAAGUCUGAAGAACCACAAAAGAAGUGAAAAUGUCCAGUUCCUGCCUUAAUUGAUGACAUUCCACCACUGUGAUUUGUUCCUGCCCCACUCUGACUGAUCAAUUAACCUUGUGACCUUCCUUCUCCUGGACAAUGAGUCUCAGAAGCUCCCCCACCAAGCACCUUGUAACCCCCGCCCCUGCCCACAAGAGAAAAACCCCCUUUGACUGUAGUUUUCCACUACCUACCCAAAUUCUAUAAAACUGCCCCACCCCUAUCUCCCUUUGCUGACUCUCUUUUCGGACUCAGCCCACUUGCACCCAAGUGAAAUAAAAAGCCUUGUUGCUCACACAAAGUCUGUUGGUGGACUGUCUUGACAUGGACGCACAUGACAGGUUCCACCAUGUUUUCUGUGCUCAAG